UCCAGAAUCCAGAUGCCCCAUGCCUCAUGCGAUAUUUCAUUUAUUGUAAAGUUUAUGUGCUAUAUUAGCAGAUGGUUAGUUCAUAUAUGAGAAUUAGAUCCUUUUUGUUGAAACAACUUCUGGCCAUGUUACAUACAUUCACAUUGUUAUCUUGGACACUGAAUUUUCUAGAUUCCGGUCAAGAAAUCUAGAUGUGUACGUAAGUUGAAACUGAGGCCCUGUUUGGAGCCUGGGAAUUGUACCAUUUUCCUCGAAUCCUUGUGAAAUUCCUGUGCUCCAGACAGGGCCUAAAAGCACUCCCCAACUUUAGCAAGAUUCCUGGAAUUUCUAUCAUAACACGUAUAUCAUAUAUUUCAUAAGUGUUGAGUUUUCAGCACGACAGGCAACGCAUACGAACCAGAUCUUAUAUGUCUCCUGUUUCUGCAUAUAGCCAUCAUCAUGUCUUCCCCAGUAGAGUUCGUGUCCAUUACCGGUGUCACUACCUAUAUUCGAGCUCCCCUGUCUGGCACUCAACAACCUUGCAAAGGCUUAAUUUCUUUCUGAGUUGAGUUUUCUUUUCCUUCUGCUUUCUAUUUGUGAGUUCAUUCUAGACCGCCGCAAUCAAUGACUGUGAGCCCCAUAAGAGCUUAGAAGAAAAAGAAAAGUACUCCCAAGCUUGUAGCUUCACGGUUACCUGGACUUGUUAUUCUAGGUUGUCGGCAGACAAUAGCAUGCUGUAAACUAGUACUCCUCCGAUUCAUAAUAAGUGUCUCAAUGUUAGUACAACUUUGUACUAAGUUAGCACAAAAUCUGUGACACUUAUUAUGGAUCGGAGGGAGUAUAAACUACUACCAAUACUCUUCUAUUCCUUUUUCUUUGUUUCACAUAUAAGAUUAUAUAUAUAGUCUUCUCUUCCUGUUGAACUCGGUAUAUCAUAAGUAUACAGAAAACUGUUUAGAUUCUGCAGGUUUCUUAUCGAAAGCACUUGCAAUUUGUUUUGAGCAUAUAAUUAUAACAUUUAACGGUAUUACAGACUGUCCAAAAUGAAUAAAGGUACUCCUAUUUGUUAGCAAUAGUAAUCAACCUUAUAAUCAUCAUCAAACAGUAGUAAGAGUAUCACACCAGGAGUACUGAUAGAUAUACUCCGAAGUGGUUAAUUAGCUUACCUGUCACAGAGUCAUAGGUUUCUGGGCUCUGGCUCUUUAGGAGUUGGACCUACAGGUCAUUACACACAACACCCAACCAAGUAAAUCAGCCACUGGUCCACCGGUGGGCCAUGAGACAACUGCACUGCUAGGUCCCCUGCCUCCUGGUGCACCUCAAGGGCCAAAUGAAACCUGUUUGUGUGUGUUUAAUUAGCUACCCAGAACCCUGAAAGCGAUGCCAAAGUUUCCCUCCUCCUUUUCUUAACCUAUCAGAAGAAUAUAGUGGUGAUUAAGAUAACGAACUCAGAGGAGGAAAAAACGGGCGCCACAGAAGCCAUAUAUGCAGGCGACGACUACUGACCGAGCUCCUCCUAGGUUGUGUUGUCCAGAGCAUCCCAAGAAUAGCAACUUGCCCACUUCCCCCCUUUUGUAUUGCCCCUUUUCCUUUGUCUCAUGUUGCCAACCAUAUAAUUUUUAAGUAAUUUUUGUAUUGUGUAUAUAUUUAUAUUUAUCUUUCUGGAAAGAUUCUGAUAUCUCUUUGUUUCUGGGUAUUGUUUGAUUGGCGCGCAACUUGUAAUAUUUGAUUUGCAACAUACAUGGAGGGGGACUGGGAAAAAUAAAAAUAUUGUAUAUCCUCGUUCUCCUACAUGCAUGAUUGGUGGUGUGCGUUGCACAUAAUCCUUGUACCAAUCAGAGAUGUUGAUUAUAAACCCAGCAGUACCUCCAGUUUGUGCCAGGAAACAACCGACGGCCAACUUGGCGACGUAAAAGUGUUGUCAGCUGGAAGAGGAAGACGCUGAUUACGACGACGGGGAGAGCAAGUACAGCCCAGAGGCCGGCGAGCUAGGCCAAUGGUGCGGUGGUCCUGCAUGCCAGCUGGAGCUAAGGGAGAAGCAUGGCUAGCUGCUGUGAGUGCGACGCCUCUUGAAAGCUCAAGAAAACCUAGACACAUUUGGUUGGAUAUCAAUAUGGACCUCCUCAAGAGAUCUCUCUCUAUAUCUCUCCGGAAUUAAUAAUUUACCUGUUGGUCCGACAGAUUAGCUGAAGAACAAACAGGCCGGGCAUUAGAUGUGGGAAUUAUGGCGCUGCAGCAAUGCAGAUCGAAACAAACAGGACAUAACAAAAUUGAUCAAUGGGGGAUCGAUUUGUAGAUUCAGAUGUCUCAUCACCAGCUAUAGCUAUUCGAUCGAUCGAUCACACCAGCAAGUUCUAAGCAUCAUUACUGCUGUUCCCAGUGAAUUUAAACCCCUGCUGAUCCUCUGAUAAUGUACCUGUACAAUACUAGUGAUGCAGAUCACGUACACCAGUAUUAAUUGCUCAAGUGGAUCGAUCGAUCCUGCAUGUGUGUAACAGGAACCCAAGGCAAUUAAGGCAAUUAUUGUUUGUAAACUAAAAAUGGGAUCAGUUAUGUGAGUUGGCCUUUCAAAAUACUUAACUUGUUUAUUUGUCUAUGGGCAAUGUAAUUAUAUUUUCUCACAAAAAGUUGGAAGAUUUGAACA